GUAGGGAAUCUUCGGCAAUGGGGGCAACCCUGACCGAGCAACGCCGCGUGAGUGAAGAAGGUUUUCGGAUCGUAAAGCUCUGUUGUAAGAGAAGAACGUGUGUGAGAGUGGAAAGUUCACACAGUGACGGUAACUUACCAGAAAGGGACGGCUAACUACGUGCCAGCAGCCGCGGUAAUACGUAGGUCCCGAGCGUUGUCCGGAUUUAUUGGGCGUAAAGCGAGCGCAGGCGGUUUAAUAAGUCUGAAGUUAAAGGCAGUGGCUUAACCAUUGUUCGCUUUGGAAACUGUUAAACUUGAGAGCAGAAGGGGAGAGUGGAAUUCCAUGUGUAGCGGUGAAAUGCGUAGAUAUAUGGAGGAACACCGGUGGCGAAAGCGGCUCUCUGGUCUGUAACUGACGCUGAGGCUCGAAAGCGUGGGGAGCAAACAGGAUUAGAAACCCCAGUAGUCC
rnacentral:rRNA from 1 species